rnacentral:rRNA from 1 species
GACGAACGCUGGCGGCGUGGAUUAGGCAUGCAAGUCGGACGGUAGGGCUUUAUCGUAAGAUAGAGUUUGAGAGUGGCGAACGGGUGAGUAACACGUAGGAAUCUACCCUUAAGACGGGGACAACCCAGGGAAACUUGGGCUAAUACCGGAUGAGAGUGCGAGAGAUUGCAUUUAAAAGGAUGGCGAAAGUUGUCGCUUAGGGAUGAGCCUGCGGUCUAUUAGUUAGUUGGUGAGGUAAGAGCUCACCAAGGCGAUGAUAGAUAGGCGGCCUUAACGGGUGGUCGCCCACACUGGGAUUGAGAUACGGCCCAGACUCCUACGGGAGGCAGCAGUGGGGAAUAUUGCACAAUGGGCGAAAGCCUGAUGCAGCGACGCCGCGUGAGGGAUGACGGCCUCGGUUGUAACGUACUUCUACAGGAGAAGACGAAGUAGACGGCGACCGUGCAGAAGAAGACACCGGACUAACUACGUAGUCCACGCAGCCGCGGUAACGUACUAUACUCGUACUACG